AAAUUCAGGCGCUGAUGUUGGAGAACCUCCAGAAGCACUCGAGCCCCCACCCCACCUUCCAGCCCAACUCCCAGAUGGGCGAGGCCAUGGGGCAGAACAGCUUCAUCAAGCAGUACCUGGAGAAGCAGCAGGAGCUGCUGCAGCAGCGGCGCGACGCCCCCGAGCCCCACGCCUCGGAGCCGGAGGAGGAGGAGGAGGAGGAGGAA